GUGCUUGCUUUGGCAGCACAUACACUAAAAUUGGAAGUAUACAUAGAAAAUUAGGACGGCCCCUGCACAAGGAUGAUACACAAAUUCAUAAAACAUUCCCUAGUUUU